rnacentral:rRNA from 1 species
UACGUAGGUGGCAAGCGUUGUCCGGAUUUACUGGGCGUAAAGAGCGCGCAGGCGGUCGUCCAAGUCGCGUGUGAAAGCCCCCGGCUCAACUGGGGAGGGUCACGCGAUACUGGUCGACUCGAAGGCAGGAGAGGGUAGUGGAAUUCCCGGUGUAGUGGUGAAAUGCGUAGAUAUCGGGAGGAACACCAGUGGCGAAGGCGGCGUUCUGGACUGCAACUGACACUGAGGAACGAAAGCCAGGGGAGCAAACGGG